rnacentral:rRNA from 5 species
AAAUUGAAGAGUUUGAUCAUGGCUCAGAUUGAACGCUGGCGGCAGGCCUAACACAUGCAAGUCGAACGGUAACAGGAAGCAGCUUGCUGCUUCGCUGACGAGUGGCGGACGGGUGAGUAAUGUCUG